CCCCGCGGCAGCCCCAGCCGCCCCAGCACCGCCGAGCCGGCCGCCGGCCAUAGCAGUGGUGGCAAGGACGCCCGCCCGCCCCGCGGCCUGGGAGACACCUCAGGUCUGGCGGUCCAUCAGAUAAUCACUAUUACAGUGUCCCUCAUCAUGGUCAUAGCUGCUCUGAUAACAACUCUUGUCUUAAAAAACUGCUGCGCGCAGAGCGGGACCACGCGGCGCAACAGCCACCAACGCAAAAUCAAUCAGCAGGAGGAGAGCUGCCAGAACCUGACCGACUUCACCCCCGCCCGCGUGCCCAGCAGCCUGGACAUAUUCACAGCCUACAACGAAACGCUGCAGUGCUCCCACGAGUGUGUCAGGACGCCGGUGCCCGUGUACACGGAGGAGGCAUUACACUCACCCGGAGAUUACAAAGCGACGUACAAUGGAAACAGGUGAGGCGAUGCCCGUCGUGUUCCCGUGUACCUCCGGCACUGGGGUCCCUGUGCUCGGGUGGGGAAGGCUGCCCCGGUCCUGUUCAGCUCCUGCUCCCCUGCACGAGGACAAGCAGGCGUCUCCUGCCGUGCCCCGUCCUUGUGGUGUCAGCUGCCCUCACCCUGAGCACCUCUCAUCCAGCCCUGACAGCAUUCAGCACCGCACGUUUUUCAGUUCCCUGCCUCCGCCUCCGGCAAGUAAAUGUUCCUCAGAUCCAUCUCGCGGAAUUUGUGCUGUCUUCUAAGUGGCACCUAAAGAGCUGCUCGGUUGUGAAUGAGCGGUGUGAUUAAUGAAGGAGCAGGCUGCGAGAACCAAAUGAACCAUUUGUCUGGCACGAAAUAAUGAUACGUUAACAAGGGGGCAUAAUGGGAGCUGACAGCGAGGUGCGAGACCGGCGAGCCGUGGCUCUGCGUGCCCCUUGCUGCAGGAGGGAGGACCGGGGGGACCCUUCCCUGUGGCUGGGCUCGCUCCGCUGCAGCAGUGCCCUUGGCUGCUCCGCGUGGUGCCCGCGUGUCUGCUGGCAAACCCAGAGAGAACCGGGAGAGCCUUGCAAGGAGGAGAUGAGCAACCGGUGCUUUGGCCCCACAGCCUGCGUGCGCUGUGGCUGGGCUGCUGCCCACAGCCGGGGUCCCGCUGCAUGAGGGACACAAGCCUGGAAGGCAGCAACUUACCAGGCACCCUUCUGACCAUCGUCUGCGUGGACGUGGGGUUUGCUCCUCUGCGUAUUGGUGGUGUCUCCUCUGAUGUUGGAAGGCAAAGAAUGUGCCUGAUUUUCAAACCAUUUCGUUGAACCUGUGUGUGUGUGAAUGGGUGGUGGGGUCACGGUGCUCUGCUUCCCCCCCCAUCUGCGUGGUGCUGGGGAGGGUUCGUUACUUAUCUGCCUCAAGGUGAUGCUUUCUGGGUGGUUUUAUUGGCCUGGGCGCGCUCCCCGCAGCCCCAUGGAGGUGAUGCACGGCACCGCCCGUGGCGCAGGCAUCGCUGCCACCUGGGGGAA
rnacentral:lncRNA from 1 species